rnacentral:rRNA from 2 species
UCUAUGGUGCGGUCGGGCGAACUGAUUAGAAGCUUGCUUCUAUGACGUUAGCGGCGGACGGGUGAGUAACACGUGGGCAACCUGCCUGUAAGACUGGGAUAACUUCGGGAAACCGAAGCUAAUACCGGAUAGGAUCUUCUCCUUCAUGGGAGAUGAUUGAAAGAUGGUUUCGGCUAUCACUUACAGAUGGGCCCGCGGUGCAUUAGCUAGUUGGUGAGGUAACGGCUCACCAAGGCAACGAUGCAUAGCCGACCUGAGAGGGUGAUCGGCCACACUGGGACUGAGACACGGCCCAGACUCCUACGGGAGGCAGCAGUAGGGAAUCUUCCGCAAUGGACGAAAGUCUGACGGAGCAACGCCGCGUGAGUGAUGAAGGCUUUCGGGUCGUAAAACUCUGUUGUUAGGGAAGAACAAGUACGAGAGUAACUGCUCGUACCUUGACGGUACCUAACCAGAAAGCCACGGCUAACUACGUGCCAGCAGCCGCGGUAAUACGUAGGUGGCAAGCGUUAUCCGGAAUUAUUGGGCGUAAAGCGCGCGCAGGCGGUUUCUUAAGUCUGAUGUGAAAGCCCACGGCUCAACCGUGGAGGGUCAUUGGAAACUGGGGAACUUGAGUGCAGAAGAGAAAAGCGGAAUUCCACGUGUAGCGGUGAAAUGCGUAGAGAUGUGGAGGAACACCAGUGGCGAAGGCGGCUUUUUGGUCUGUAACUGACGCUGAGGCGCGAAAGCGUGGGGAGCAAACAGGAUUAGAUACCCUGGUAGUCCACGCCGUAAACGAUGAGUGCUAAGUGUUAGAGGGUUUCCGCCCUUUAGUGCUGCAGCUAACGCAUUAAGCACUCCGCCUGGGGAGUACGGUCGCAAGACUGAAACUCAAAGGAAUUGACGGGGGCCCGCACAAGCGGUGGAGCAUGGGCUUUAAUUCGAAGCAACGCGAAGAACCUUACCAGGUCUUGACAUCCUCUGACAACUCUAGAGAUAGAGCGUCCCCUUCGGGGGACAGAGUGACAGUGUGCAUGCUUGUCGUCAGCUCGUGUCGUGAGAUGUGGUUAGUCCCGCACCGAGCGCACCCUUGAUCUAGUGCCAGCAUUCAGUUGGCACUCUAAGGUGACUGCCGUGACAACCGAGAAGGUGGGGAAUGACGUCGAUCAUCAUGGCCUUAUGACCUGGCUACACGGUCUACAAUGGAAUGGUACAAGCUGUCACAAGAACUCGCGAAGGACUCAGGCCACAAUUCCGU